rnacentral:rRNA from 1 species
UACGUAGGUGGCAAGCGUUGUCCGGAAUUAUUGGGCGUAAAGCGCGCGCAGGCGGUCCUUUACGUCUGAUGUGAAAGCCCACGGCUCAACCGUGGAGGGUCAUUGGAAACUGGUAGACUUGAGUGCAGAAGAGGGAAGUGGAAUUCCAUGUGUAGCGGUGAAAUGCGUAGAGAUAUGGAGGAACACCAGUGGCGAAGGCGGCUUCCUGGUCUGUAACUGACACUGAGGCGCGAAAGCGUGGGGAGCAAACAGG